rnacentral:rRNA from 1 species
UUGGAGGGCAAGUCUGGUGCCAGCAGCCGCGGUAAUUCCAGCUCCAAUAGCGUAUAUUAAAGUUGUUGCAGUUAAAAAGCUCGUAGUUGAAUUUCGGGAUUGACGUGAUGGUCGUACCUUAAGGGGUAUGAACUGUCGCUGUUGAUUUCUCACCUUCUGGAGAAACUUGAUGUCCUUGAUUGGGUGUCUUGCGGAUCCAGGACCUUUACCUUGAAAAAAUUAGAGUGUUUAAAGCAGGCAUUUUUGCUCGAAUACAUUAGCAUGGAAUAAUAGAAUAGGACGGCAUGGUUCUAUUUUGUUGGUUUCUAGGAUCACCGUAAUGAUUAAUAGGGAUAGUUGGGGGCAUUAGUAUUCAAUCGUCAGAGGUGAAAUUCUUGGAUUUAUUGAAGACUAACUACUGCGAAAGCAUUUGCCAAGGAUGUUUUCAUUAAUCAAGAACGAAAGUUAGGGGAUCGAAGACGAUCAGAUACCGUCGUAGUCUUAACCAUAAACUAUGCCGACUAGGAAUCAGACGAUGUUAAUUUUUUAAUGACUCGUUUGGCACCUUACGGGAAAC